rnacentral:lncRNA from 1 species
GGUAAGCUACAAUAUUUGUCUUUUUGUAUUUGAAAAUUUCAGUAUAAUUAAUACAUUCUGGGGUUUGUUUUUUCCAUUGAUGGGUUUGGGGUUGUGUUCUUAUUUUUCAGAAGCUGAUGGUUUUCAAAUGUUCAGUGUCUACUAAUUGAACAAGGAAACUGAAAAUUGGCAAAUGACUUCCUGAAGAUAUUCUGGAAUGUAGAUUACAUUAGCACCAGUACAGGAUGAAGUGGAGACCUGAGUUCCUGCUUAUAGCAUAACGGAUGAUAGUAGUUCACAGAAGAGAUCAUGUGUUUUACAGUUUUUCUGGAGAUUUUCAUUCAUCACUCCAGAAAUCACAAUCUAAAAAAGCCAAGUGAGGGGCAGGCUGUCCAACAAAGGAGAAGGCCUUGAUGUCAGAGUGUGGAUAAUGACGUGAUAAUUUGGAUUCCCUAAAUGAGAAAAAAAAAACCCUAAAAGCGGAAGAAGCUUUCUAUAUUACUAUUAGUGUAUCCAUUUUUAUAUGUCGCCCUGUAUGAUACAAAAUCAGGAAAGGCACAUCUGGAUCUAUAUGAAAUAUCUGGAUUUUAUCAAAUUCCUGGUUUAAAGAUCUAUAUGUGAAA